UACGAAGGGGGCUAGCGUUGUUCGGAAUUACUGGGCGUAAAGCGCACGUAGGCGGAUAUUUAAGUCAGGGGUGAAAUCCCCAGAGCUCAACUCUGGAACUGCCUUUGAUACUGGGUAUCUUGAGUAUGGAAGAGGUAAGUGGAAUUGCGAGUGUAGAGGUGAAAUUCGUAGAUAUUCGCAGGAACACCAGUGGCGAAGGCGGCUUACUGGUCCAUAACUGACGCUGAGGUGCGAAAGCGUGGGGAGCAAACAGG
rnacentral:rRNA from 1 species